CAGAUUACCUGUAAUUCAAUUGAUUGAGCUCUCGGUUUCUUGAAUUUUCUUGCUGCUGAAACCGAUCAGAAGAAAGAAAUGGAUUGAAGAUUUAAGAUAUGAGAAAGAUUUAGCAGAGGAGAGUUGGCGGUUUGGAUGUAUAUUCGGUUCAAGUUCGUGGCUGUCCGCGUUGAAGUACCCAAUUUUUCUUAGAAAGCAGGAUGUAUUAAAUUUUAUUGGACUCGAAAUAUUCGUUCGAGAAAGAAGCAAUGAUUAUUUAUAAUUCCAAGAUCAAUUAAUAUACAUGAAAAUGGCAGGUUUUGAAUACUA